UACGUAGGGUGCGAGCGUUGUCCGGAAUUAUUGGGCGUAAAGAGCUCGUAGGCGGUGUGUCACGUCGGCCGUGAAAACCUGGGGCUUAACUCUGGGCGUGCGGUCGAUACGGGCAUCACUAGAGUUCGGCAGGGGAGACUGGAAUUCCUGGUGUAGCGGUGAAAUGCGCAGAUAUCAGGAGGAACACCGGUGGCGAAGGCGGGUCUCUGGGCCGAUACUGACGCUGAGGCGCGACAGCGUGGGGAGCAAACAGG
rnacentral:rRNA from 1 species